GAUGAACGCUGGCGGCGUGCCUAAUACAUGCAAGUCGAGCGAACAGACGAGGAGCUUGCUCCUCUGACGUUAGCGGCGGGCGGGUGAGUAACACGUGGAUAACCUACCUAUAAGACUGGGAUAACUUCGGGAAACCGGAGCUAAUACCGGAUAAUAUAUUGAACCGCAUGGUUCAAUAGUGAAGGACGGUUUUGCUGUCACUUAUAGAUGGAUCCGCGCCGCAUUAGCUAGUUGGUAAGGUAACGGCUUACCAAGGCAACGAUGCGUAGCCGACCUGAGGGGGUGGAUGGCCAGCCGGGAACUGAGACACGGUCCAGACUCCUACGGGAGGCAGCAGUAGGGAAUCUUCCGCAAUGGGCGAAAGCCUGACGGAGCAACGCCGCGUGAGUGAUGAAGGUCUUCGGAUCGUAAAACUCUGUUAUUAGGGAAGAACAAAUGUGUAAGUAACUAUGCACGUCUUGACGGUACCUAAUCAGAAAGCCACGGCUAACUACGUG
rnacentral:rRNA from 1 species